rnacentral:lncRNA from 1 species
AUCAUCAUCAUCAUCACCAUCAUCGUCAUCGUCAUCAUCAGGGUGUUUUGUUUUAUUUGUUUUAUUUUAUUUUGGAUCCACCGUCAGUUUCAACAAAAUCUGCAGUAACUCCUCCUCCUGGGUCUUUAUCUUCUUUUCCAUUUUCAUUUUGAACUUUGACAUAAACUUACAGACAUUAACUCUCAUUCUACUCUUCACUCAUACAGAAGCUCUUAUUCUUUCUCGCUUGUUGAAAAAUAAACCAAAACAUAAAUAAGAUGAAGAAAGAAAAGUCAAAAGAGGAGAAAGAAAAACAGAAUUUAUUUCAGGGAUAACAAGAAAACUUCAUCCAUCAGAGAGAAGAGCUGAACUCAGUUUCAUUCAUGGUCCUCUGUAUGUAAACAAAUAUACACCUUUUAAUAGUUUAUUAACUUCUGUUCAUGUCUGAAAUUAAAAAGUUCAAUAAUAUCAUUUCUCUGUAGAGGACAGUCCUUUUUAUCGCCUCGGUUCUGUCCUCUGAUGCCUGCUGAGAACCAAACUAAUGUUUAUUACAGAGUCCUUCUGUCACUCUGUUUAUAAUCAUACUUUUUAGGAAAGAUACUAAUAGGUAAUACAAUUUACAUUUAACCAGAUUAAUUGAUUAUGUAUUGUGAUGCUACCUGCUCUAUAGGGACAGUUCAGUGUUGUUCCAGCUGCUUUGUUUUGUGCUGUUUGUAGUUUGUAUAAAUGACUUUGUGUUUGAUCAGAUUACUGCACCGUACUCUGUAUUAUUUGUUUGAUCGUGUUUUUGGCAUAUAUUUCUAACAGUGUCUAACCUUUACCCAUCAUUCAACUGUUCCACGACAUUUUAUCAUCAAUAAUUGAUCCUAAUAACCUUAAAUCUGUGUUUUUGUCCUGUGAGAUCGUCACCUGUACGUAACUUUAACGUUGGCGUCGAUUCUAACUUAUAUUUUGAAGCUGACGCCGUGGUUUAAGGUCCUUCGCUGAUUUCUGCACAAAUUUUAAAUCAGAUAUUUUAUUUUAAAUUAGAGAGACGACAGUUCAGAUUUGACAGAAUCAACUGUUAGAGUUUCUGCACUUUGAGGCGACUCUGAGAUUUUCUUUUUAAACCGUAUUCAUUAAAGAUUUCUGCUUUUUCAUAUUUGGCACAAAUAUCCUUGAAUUUAUCAUUAAUUUAGACGAUUUGAAGCAGUUUUUUAUUUGACUUUAUUUCAGGUUCUAUAGGAGCUUCAGCUGCAGAAAGUUCAUCUGAAAUGACAUUUUUUAUUUACUGUGUUGGUUUUUUUUUCUUCACAGAGCUCUGCAGCACCAACCAGAGUCAGAAUAAGAAUAAUAAAUAAGCAUAAAUAUAAUAAAUAGGUAUAAAUAUAAUAAAUAGGUAUAAAUAUAAUAAAUAAGUAUAAAUAUAAUAGAUAGGUAUUGUACUUUUUAAAGCAGAGAUAUUUUUCUUUUUUGGUUUUUCUGUAUUCAGUUCGCGUCUGAAAUGUUUUUGAGGUGAAAAUUGUCUGAAAAAUCAUCGAACCUUGAAACCGUCCAUCAGAGAUCCUCGCCGUGUUCGUGGUCAGACAGGUUAGACGGCGGUAAAAAUGUCUCGGUUUCACUCUCAGCUCUGAAAUAUUUAAUAUCUUGUUUCUCGUUCUUGCAUCAGAGACCACCGGGCGUUUGAAAUAUUUCUCGUUUGUUAUCUGGAGAAAAAACGUCUGCAGCAGAAAAUCUAUGAUUAUAGAUUCACAGUAACGAGGCGAGUAGAUCUAAACAGACCACCUCUACGGGAGAGAAACAAGACGAGUUAAAUUUAACAUUAAAGUGAGAAAAGAUCAGAAUACAGUAACUGCAAAUAAAGUAGAAAGAGGAGAUAAAAAAUCGAUAAAAUGAGUCAAAAUAAUCAGAAAAAAGUCACAAUUAAACAACAAAAAAACAAAGUUAUGUUGUAAAUAUGUUAAAUUAUUUAACAAUGAACUAAAUUCAUGAAUAAAGUGAAAGUUCUGUCACAAAAAUAUCAAAUUAAACUUUAAAUGUGAAAAUUAUGAGACAAAAGUGAAAGUUUUAUAAAAAUAAAUCCAAACUGUGAGAGUAAAGGUCGAUAAAAAGACAGAAAAUAAGAUUAAAAAAGUCAAAAAUAUGAGAUUAAAGAUGGUUUAGUCUGUGAGAAUAAAGACGCUAAAAGUCUAAAUUUAAUGAUACGUCAGUUUUUCUUUUUUGUGACAUUGACUUCAAUCCAAUAACCUUCACUCUUUUAUUAAAAACUCUCUUUUAUUCUGAUUUGAAGUUUUUUAUUUUUAAUUAAUUUAUUUAUGUCCAGGUGAGCUGACAGGUGAUCUGAGAGGAGGACGGAUGUUGUCAGACGGUCUCUGCGUCGUCCAUUGUUGUAAUAUUAUUAUUAUUGUUUAAUUUUAGGGGUGAAAUCAGACGGCGUUCCUUCUACCUUUCUUCUCUCUCAUUAUUGACCUUUGACCUCCUAAUAACGACUUUUCUGCUCGUUUCUCUUUUUCAAACUUCAGUUUCUCAGUCGGUUAAAAUGAUUAAACUGAGCUGGACGACCCGGUCUGCACGCAGAGACAUGAACUCAUGAUCUUUAUGAUCCACAUUUGGACCCUCUGCAGCUCUGAGACCCGGCUCAGCGAAGAUUUAGAAACACGGACGGCAGCGGCGGCGGCGAUGGCGGCGGUCUAUAAUCUGCCCGAGGUCAGAACUGAAUCUUUUUUUAAUCCACUCAGAGUUUAUUCAAAGUUUUUCUGCAGCUUUAAAAAGAAAAAGACCGAUGAUAGAGAAGAGGGUCAGGAAGUUAAAGAGUCCGGGUCCAGUAGAUCCGGUCCCAGGUCCAGUAGAUCUGGUCCCAGGUCCAGUAGAUCUGGUCCCAGGGCUGGUCUUUGGUUCUGGAUACAAACAAAGAACCUCAUGAGGAUUUUAAACUGGAAUAUUAAAGUCAGAGAUAAACUGUUUGAUGUAGUGAUACACACACACACACACACAAAGAC